ACGCUCGACACCUACGGAGGCAGCAGUGGGGAAUAUUGCACAAUGGGGGAAACCCUGAUGCAGCGACGCCGCGUGAGCGAAGAAGUAUUUCGGUAUGUAAAGCUCUAUCAGCAGGGAAGAAGAAAGACGGUACCUGACUAAGAAGCCCCGGCUAACUACGUGCCACAGCCGCGGUAAUCUGAGCGGGCUGGCAAGGC
rnacentral:rRNA from 1 species